AAUCAGUUAUCUAAAACUUACCAAACAAUGGUAGACAAACGUGGAGCGACACGAGGCAGAAUGGGAAUAGUAAGUUCAAGAAGAUGAAGGGUGAAAGAAAGAAGAAAUUUGACAGCAAUGAAGAGAAAAACUGCAAGAGGGUGGAGGGAUUUUUGGGAAAAGUAAAAAAAAGGAAAAAAAAAAGAUGAACAGAAUAUUUGAUAGCCACCCCAAUCCCUUAUUUCUCUCCAUCAAACUCCCCACUAAAUCCACUACUCAAAUUUUUAGUACAUCUCAAACUCUCCUGGAUGCACGAGAAAAAAUAAUGCCCACGCUAAGAUUCAAACACAGGACCUCCU
rnacentral:lncRNA from 1 species